GAAUAAAGAACAAGCCACGUAUUCCCCAAUCCCUGUCUCAGUCCACUUUUUCAUAUCACUAUUAUUUCGAUCAUCAUUGUGUUCUUUUUUUAUUUUAAUCAUAAUAUUGAUGAUAAAAAAUUAAAAAACAGUUUCCAGAAAAAUUCUCACCGGCUCAAGUUUGCAGAGGACCAAACUCAACGACCAACAAUCAGGUCCAAACCGGAUUGCAGCUACAUGUGCAUUAU
rnacentral:misc_RNA from 1 species